CGUCGGCGUGACGUUCUAUUAAUUAUGAUCUCGUAUACACCGUACCGAACGGUGGCUGCAGUGUACUCGUAUACGGUACGCGCCUUUACGUCACAAGUACGCGGUCAGAGACGGAUAAUAAUUGCGGGGAAAGAAAAAAAAAAAAAAUUUGCGGCGCAACAAUAUUGUAACCGUUUGUGCGGUAUUGUCGUGUACGGGCGUCGUCGGGAGCGCGGCGAUAAUUUGUACGACUC